ensembl:miRNA
GAUAUUAUGAAUAAUAUCACAGUAGGUGUUCACACAUAAUGUGUAUACCAUGUGUGUACACCCAAUGUGAUAUCUGAAGUCAUAUGUC